AGGAGUGUAGCUCAGUUGGUAGAGCAGCGGUCUCCAAAACCGCCGGUCCGGGGUUCGAAUCCUCGCACUCCUG
rnacentral:tRNA from 1 species